UUUAAGUGCAAUUAUGGGUUUUCAUGUACAAUGUUUGAUUGUCCGUCUUAUUUAAAUUUUUUUAUGACCAGUAGUUUUAUUGUUAUUAGAUGAUAAAAUAUAAAUAGUACUUCGUGAGUGACUUAUUCUUUUAAAUUUUUUCAUAAUUUUUUUUAAAUAAGACGAAUGGUUAAAUAUUGGACACGAAAACCUACAAUUACAAUUAAA
rfam:Oryza sativa (indica cultivar-group) chromosome 6, whole genome shotgun sequence.